CCUACGGGAGGCAGCAGUGAGGAAUAUUGGUCAAUGGACGCAAGUCUGAACCAGCCAUGCCGCGUGCAGGAAGACGGCUCUAUGAGUUGUAAACUGCUUUUGUACGAGGGUAAACUCAGAUACGCGUAUCUGCCUGAAAGUAUCGUACGAAUAAGGAUCGGCUAACUCCGUGCCAGCAGCCGCGGUAAUACGGAGGAUUCAAGCGUUAUCCGGAUUUAUUGGGUUUAAAGGGUGCGUAGGCGGUUGGAUAAGUUAGCGGUGAAAUCUCGAGGCUCAACUUCGGAAUUGCCUCUGAUACUGUUGGGCUAGAGAGUAGGUGCGGUAGGCGGAAUGUAUGGUGUAGCGGUGAAAUGCUUAGAGAUCAUACAGAACACCGAUUGCGAAGGCAGCUUACCAAGCUACGUCUGACGUUGAGGCACGAAAGCGUGGGGAGCAAACAGGAUUAGAUACCCCAGUAGUC
rnacentral:rRNA from 1 species